UACGUAGGGCGCAAGCGUGUCCGGAUUUAUUGGGCGUAAAGAGCUCGUAGGCGGCUUGUUGCGUCGGCUGUGAAAACCCGUGGCUUAACUGCGGGCUUGCAGCUGAUACGGGCGGGCUAGAGUUCGGUAGGGGAGACUGGAAUUCCUGGUGUAGCGGUGAAAUGCGCAGAUAUCAGGAGGAACACCGGUGGCGAAGGCGGGUCUCUGGGCCGAUAUCGACGUGAGGAGCGAAAGCGUGGGGGAGCGAACAGG
rnacentral:rRNA from 1 species